GGCGGCGUGCCUAAUACAUGCAAGUAGAACGCUGAAUGAUGAGCUUGCUUCUCUGUAUGCGUUGCUAACUGGUGAGUAACGCGUAUGUAACCUGCCUGGUAGCGGGGGAUAACUAUUGGAAACGAUAGCUAAUACCGCAUAACAACAGUUGUUGCAUGACAGCUGUUUAAAAGGUGCAAUUGCAUCACUACCAGAUGGACCUGCGUUGUAUUAGCUAGUUGGUGAGGUAACGGCUCACCAAGGCAACGAUACAUAGCCGACCUGAGAGGGUGAUCGGCCACACUGGGACUGAGACACGGCCCAGACUCCUACGG
rnacentral:rRNA from 1 species